GAAGAAGAGAAAGUCCUGCCCUUCAAGGAACUUAGUCAAGAUGGAUAUCAAGGAUCCAUUCAUCCACAUGAAUUAAAUUGAGGCCAGAGAAUCCAUGUGUCUAAAAGUUAUCAAACACUGUCUGCCUGGGCCAGGCCCUUAGCAACACCUUGUGGGAAAUAUGGAUCCAUCAGAGGCCUAUCCUGCCCGCGUGUACUUCCACUCUGCCUCCCACAGCACCAGAUGUCCACAUGCCCAUCCUUGGCCCCCAGCAGUACUGGAUGAAAGAGUGUGGCUGGAGCCCGAGAGUCCAUCUCUGGCUGUGGAAAACCAACUCAGAGCACUGUGCUUUGCCA